GAGCAGAUGAUGAUAAAGCACAUAUCUGAUGAUUAAUGUUGUCUAUGAUGUCUCAACAUAUCGAGCUUUUUAAAGCUGAUGCUCA